UUCUAUCUAGCUCAGCUAGUAGAGAAUGAGGCUCUUAAUCUCAGGGUUGCAGGUUUGAGCCCCACGUUGGGCAAA